AUGAAAACUUCUAAGACAUGAUAAAAAGCAGUGAUUUGACAAACAGAUCAGCCAUGUAUAAGACACUUUCUUUAAAAAAUUAAUAUAAAAUAUCCAACAGUACUUUGAAUCCAGAAAUCCAAAUGAAUCAAAUAACUAAUAAACUGGAUUAUAUCCUAUACUAAAGAAAGCUUCAGUCAAACGAAUUUGCUAAAUACUAGUAUGUGAAUGCCACAGGCAAUUAAGUAUGGUGAUUAGAGAAAUAAGCUGAAAGAAAAACCAGGAGCAGUCAUUUUAACAGAUGGGGCAGAUGAAUCUAAAAUAAAAUAAAACAAAGAGGGAAAGAGAAGCAAGUAUGAAAACUAGGUUGGCCUUAAAAAGAAGUCUAUAUUUCUAUGAACAUAUGGAAACAGCUCUCAGCUUUGCAUUUUAUGAACACCCACCCCACCACCUACAGAACCAAAUGCUUUAAUUUUGUGACUUAGAUGUGAAAGGAAAGAACAUUACCCGAUCAAGGGGCUCCUCUGGGGGAGGUGAUGCUCACUCCUCCAGCUCACUGAGGGGACAAGCUGAUCCUCUCUUUCUUCCUUGGAAUUUCUGAAGUCCGUAGAAGAGGCCAGGGGAAGCCAGAUUGUUUUACUGCAAGGUGGGCCAAAUCAGGAAACAGCUCAGCAGAUAGAGACACAGGCCUUUAUGGACAGAGGACUGGAAGGAGAAGCCACUGCAAGCUGGUUUCAAAAAUGUCUUCAUAUUCUGAUAUCUUCAACCUGAGGGAAAGUUGUGAAACUACGGAUAUUCCCCCUGAAACCAUGGUGCAAUAGAUGACACUAUGCCCUAGAUUCAUCUUCAGAAUCCUUUUCAUCACAGUACUACAGGCAGCCACUCGUUUCAGAAGCCCAUUCAUCAUGGACUGCUCAAAUGCAAGGCGGACGAGGGAAGGAGGGAGACGGAGUCUUAUUAAGGAAGGGGCUCUGACAGAGCUGGUGGUGGAGCUCAGUAGCAAGCUUGUACCUGACACACUCCAAGCCCUGGGCUCAAUCCCAGUGCACGUGGGUGUGCAUGCAGGUAUACACACACACACAUGCACGCACGCGGAGGGGGAUAGAUACAGACGCAAAAGAAAAAGAAAUCCUGGAGUCACAGUGCUAAAUUUAAAAAGAAUAGAAUGGUCUUUCCCCUUUCAGAGACACACACAUCAAUACCACAUGUGGCUUGCUCAAGAGUAUGUGUUGGGGGCUAGGGCGUGGCUCAGUGGUAUGGAACAUAUGCAAGGCCCUGGGUUCAACCCCCUGGAAUAAGACAAACAAAAAUGAAUAUAAGUGCUGUCAUGAUAAAAACAUCAAUAGAUUGGAAACCAGAAUGUUAGAUGCUAUUCCUCUUUUAACUCAACCCGUCACUCCAGCUUGCCUGACACUUGCCUUUGAGUCUUUGAAAAUGUAUUUAUCAUAUAUUUAAAACAUACGUGUAUGUGCAUGUGUGUGUUCCUGCUAGCAAAUCUAUUCUUAUGCUAAAAUUUAACUAUUAGUAAAAUACACAAUUGAGAAAAUAAGAGCCCCUGCUGUACCUCUCCUAGAGAAAUGACCACUCGGUGACCAGGUGUCUAUUCCGUCAUGCUUCCCGUGUAUAUUUAGUUCAGUUUUAAACAACUGUAUAAUAGCCUGUUGUCUCAGCUUUCGAGUUGAGGACGGUAUUAUUCAUUAUCAAUAGCACUGCAGUGAAGAUCCUAAUAUAUGUUUUUGUGCACUUGUAUUUCCGUAGAGGAAAUUCCUAGAAGCGAAAUGGCAGGUGCGGAGAUGUGCAAAUUUAAGUUUUUAACAGAAAUUAGGGCUGGGUAUAGUAACUUAGUGGUAGAGCACUGGCCUAGCAAGUACCAGGCCCUGGAUUUGAUCCCCAGCACUGAAAAAAUACACACAUGCGCACAGUUUUAAUAAAGUCAAAUUGAUCUCCAAAUACAUCAUCAGUUUAUACUCUCACCAGUAGUAUGUUAGACUGCAAAUUUCUGGCUUGCCUUUUUUUUUUGUGGCACUGGGGAUCAAACUCAGGACCUUGUGCUUGAGGGGCAGGCAGUGGCACCACUGAGCUAAAUCCUUGCCCCCUCUGGUUUGCCUUUUUAAAGGAACACAAAAACAAUGAGAAAAAUGUUAAGAUUAGGCUUACAUAAUCUUAGGCCACAGUACUUAACAGGCAGAAAACAAUUAUGCAUCCAAGAGGAGCAAUAUUACAGCUGCCAGCUGCCAGGGCAUUAUGACUGCAACAAACAUCACAAAGGUGCCUUCUUGGACACUUUACUGAUUUCUGAGAUUUCCUCGGCAUUACUGGAAUACAAAACUAGAACAAUCCAUGGUUUCACUUUGAGGAAGAGAUAAAAGGAGAAAGUUAACAGUAUGGCUACUGUUACUAUUAUUACUUCAUUUUCCAUUCCAGCAUUUUGUCUCAAGAUCAAGACAGUACAUCAUUGAGAAGAAAGUAACAGAAGUGUAGAUUCCCAAAAGCAAUGCUGAUUUUUUUUCUGUAGUGUUUGUGAAAACCAAUUAAGUAACAAAUUUGGAUAGAAAAAAUCAUGCCCUUGAAAAAUUGCUUCUUUGGUUUAGGUGUGUAGUUUAGUGGUAGACUGCCUGCCUAGCAUAUGUGAGGCCCUGAGUUUGAUCCCUGACAGCACAAAAUAAAUAAAUAAACAAUAUUUUAAAAGUGAAAUAAGUGAAAAUUACUUCUUGUUUACUUUAAAUACAACACAACCUAUCUUAUGUGAAUUUUAAAAUAGUGAGCCAGUGUAGCACAGUAGACAAGAUACUAGUUAACUAAUAGUAAUAACAUCUUUGAAUACUAACAUAGGCACUGUGUUAAGUACUUUGCAAGUAUUAUCUUACUCAACCUUCAUUAUAAUGUCAUGAGGUGAAUACUAUUAUUUUCCCCAUUUACAGAUCCAACAUAUAGCUUUUCCUUAUGAAACAUUUUAAACACAGUUACAAGUACAGAUUUUAGACAGUGACCGAUAAUGCUGGAAAGUGCCUUUAAGUUCAUCUUCUGUGACUCACUGCUCCCUUGGAAGACAAAAUUGAUUUCACCUUUAUUUUUCCUGCCUUGGGUAUUGUGAGGGUUAAACAUUGUCACACAAAGAUGAUAAGUGAUCCACUGCGGAUUUACUCGACAAUGAAGGGGAGAAUUUUAAGCAUGGUGGUGGAUCCUCUCCAGCGGGUGGAUCAAGAAAGCCUCUGAAUCAGCUUUGGAGGCUGGGUGGCAUUGCUUCACUUUCUUACUAAUAUUCAGGUGGGCAGAACAUGACUCUGCUCUUCCAAAGAUUUCCAUACAGGAGAGGGCCUCAAAAUAGCCCUAAACACACACCAGGAGUGUAUCCUUGGUGCUCAUGGAGAAAGCAUCAUGUAGGCAAUUUACUUCAUUGAUGCAUUAUUUUGGAAAUUUAUGAGUUGCAUCAUAAUGUGAGAGUAAGGAAGAAAGACCCAAUGUACAGUAAAAUCAGAAUUACAUUUGGCAGGGAAGGGAGCCAUGCAGAAAAAGAAGGCUGUAAAUCUUAGUAGGUACAUGCUGGGCACAGCAUGGGCAAUAACUUUUGAGGUUUGCAGAAGAAAAAAUGGCAUCACUGAGACAAAGGUAGAAAACAGAGAAAUGGAUGUGAAUGCACAAAGGGGGAUUAACUUCAUUCCACUUCAAUACAAAAGUAUAUUGUGUUUAUAUUGAAAUAUCAAUCCCAAACUAUACUUCAUCUGCACCACAGUCUAUGUGUAAUAAAGAUGUUCUUCUUGAAAUGAAGUAUAAUUAAGAAAUCUCAGAAAGUUACCAGUUUGAGGGAAAAUGGUAAUCAGCCUUGAAACAAUUUAAAAAGUAAUGAAAGAGACAGAGAGUUGGUGAGUAUGCACCAGAGGCUUCAGGAAAGAGGAUCGAUUAUUACUGGUGUAACUGUUGUUAUUUAAUUCAUUUGCAAAUUAUAAUGCCAUCUAUGUCUGCCAAUCUUCAUUCAUUUUAAUAUCUGUAGUUUAUUAGAUUCAAUUCCUGAAAAAUGUCUAGAGUGUCCAGCCAUGUUUUUACCUGAGAAAAUAUUUCCUGAGAAAGAAAUAUUUUGGAAAUGAUUUUUUGAGCUUUAGGUUUCAAACUAUCAUUGCUUUCGGGGCCUUUAAUUGCUUUCUGUUGAACUGGGAAGUUAAUCUGGAAUGUUUUCAGGAUGCUCAAGUUCUUGUAAGCUUUAUACCUAAAGCAGAUUCGCAGCCAUGCCGAGAACAACCUUUGAAGUUACCAUGCUAUGCUAGUAUCUCAAAAGUUUUGCUUUGAUCUGCAGGUACAAUGUCUCCUAGGAAAUAUUCUUGUGAUUGUUGUAUUUCCUGUCACCAACAAUUUUUAUUCAAUAAUGUCCGUAUUUCUUAUGAACCAAGGUUGAUAUUAUAUGGGCAAAAAAUUUUGUCAGCUCUGUUGUCUUUUAUGAUACAGAAGAGAAUAUUGCUGAAGCUAUGUUAUUUCUUAAGACAGAAAACAUCAAUCAAUUCCUUGAUUUUAUUUUCUUAUUUGUAGUAAGUGUGGGUUUUUGGAAGUUCUGU